rnacentral:rRNA from 1 species
UACAGAGGUCUCGAGCGUUGUUCGGAUUCAUUGGGCGUAAAGGGUGCGUAGGCGGCGCGGUAAGUCGGGUGUGAAAUCUUGGAGCUUAACUCCGAAACUGCAUUCGAUACUGCCGUGCUUGAGGACUGGAGAGGAGACUGGAAUUUACGGUGUAGCGGUGAAAUGCGUAGAUAUCGUAAGGAAGACCAGUGGCGAAGGCGGGUCUCGUGGACAGUUCCUGACGCUGAGGCACGAAGGUCAGGGGAGCAAACGGG